rnacentral:rRNA from 1 species
UAACACCUGGAAACAGAUGCUAAUACCGGAUAACAACAGAUGAUGCCUAUCAACUGUUUAAAGAUGGUUCUGCUAUCACUCUUGGAUGGACCUGCGGUGCAUUAGCUAGUUGGUAGGGUAACGGCCUACCAAGGCGAUGAUGCAUAGCCGAGUUGAGAGACUGAUCGGCCACAUUGGGACUGAGACACGGCCCAAACUCCUACGGGAGGCAGCAGCC